rnacentral:rRNA from 1 species
GACGAACGCUGGCGGCGUGCCUAAUACAUGCAAGUUGAGCGCUGAAGGUUGGUAGUUGUACCAACUGGAUGAGCAGCGAACGGGUGAGUAACGCGUGGGGAAUCUGCCUUUGAGCGGGGGACAACAUUUGGAAACGAAUGCUAAUACCGCAUAAAAACUUUAAACACAAGUUUUAAGUUUGAAAGAUGCAAUUGCAUCACUCAAAGAUGAUCCCGCGUUGUAUUAGCUAGUUGGUGAGGUAAAGGCUCACCAAGGCGAUGAUACAUAGCCGACCUGAGAGGGUGAUCGGCCACAUUGGGACUGAGACACGGCCCAAACUCCUACGGGAGGCAGCAGUAGGGAAUCUUCGGCAAUGGACGAAAGUCUGACCGAGCAACGCCGCGUGAGUGAAGAAGGUUUUCGGAUCGUAAAACUCUGUUGGUAGAGAAGAACGUUGGUGAGAGUGGAAAGCUCAUCAAGUGACGGUAACUACCCAGAAAGGGACGGCUAACUACGUG